GACGAACGCUGGCGGCGUGCUUAACACAUGCAAGUCGUACGGUAAGGCCCUUUCUGGGGUACACGCGUGGGGAACGGGCGAGUAACUCGUGAGUAACCUGCCCACCCCUUUGGGUUAACGCUAGGAAACUGGUGCUAAUACUGGAUAUGUGCUCCUGCCGCCUGGUGGGGGUUGGAAAGCACCGGGGGUUGUGUAUGGAUUCGCGGCCUUUCAGCUUGUUGGUGGGGUGGUGGCCUACCUAGGCGGCGACGGGUAGGCGGCCUGAGGGGGUGUGCGGCCCAAAUGGGACUGGGAAAAGGCCCAGACCCCCACGGGGAGGAACAAGUGGGAAAAUUGCACAAAUGGCGGGAGCCCGAUGCAACAACGCCGCGGGCGGGAUGACGGCCUUCGGGUUGUAAACCACGUUCAGCAGGGACGAAGCUGUUUGUGACGGUACCUGCAGAAGAAGCACCGGCUAACUACGUG
rnacentral:rRNA from 1 species